GUAAGUCCGGCCCGGCCCACUGGCCCGGCCCAGCUGCCCACUGCCCGGCUGCUUGGUUGACUGUAGCUGUAGCUCCCAGGGUUUGUGGUGCUGUUGGGUGGGCAGGGCAAACAGAUGUACAGACCAUGGUUUGGGGGCUGCUUGAGAUCACAGCUCCUUCCUAGGGUGCUCUUAGAGCAGGACCUCCUUCCUGAGGCAGGCCCUGCUCUGUCCCAUACUCUCCAGUAGGCAUGGCUCAACCACCACUAUUUGAACUUGUUCUCUUCUGUUACUCCUGCCCUGAUCUUGCCUGAGCUGUUCACUGUGCAGGAAAGGCAAGGCCCUGACUUGGCGUCUCUAGAUACUAACUGCACGGUGACUCUAGCCCCGUCUGAUACCAGCUGGGCGGGGCUUCCCGGCUGCUAUAAACUGCAUGUGCCUGAGGCUGCCGUGGGCCCUGCACACAUGCACGAGCACAGACAGAGGUGAGGGCAGAACAGUGUGUAAUGUUUAAGGCAGAUGGGUAGUAGCCAUCCCAAACACAUCUCUUCAUCAGCUAUCACUCGGUGUAGGUCUUUCAGAGUCCUGUGAGUGGCCCCUUGUAUCCCCAUCCCAUCUGUCUGUCCCUCCCUCUCUCGACAGUGUUGGCCUGUGGGCGACCCCAAGCAACAGCAGUAUACAAGGUCUCUGAGUAUGCCCGUCGCUUCGGUGUCCCUGUUAUUGCUGAUGGAGGAAUCCAGAAUGUGGGUCAUAUUGCCAAAGCUUUGGCUCUUGGGGCCUCUACAGGUGAGACCUAGUAAUCUUGGGGCCUGGUGGGGUCCCCUUUCAUGCACUUCUCAGAUUCUGCCCCUAGCUUACUUGUCUGUCCACAGUCAUGAUGGGCUCCCUCUUGGCUGCCACCACUGAGGCCCCUGGUGAGUACUU
rnacentral:lncRNA from 1 species